rnacentral:rRNA from 1 species
UACGUAGGGACCAAGCGUUGUUCGGAUUUACUGGGCGUAAAGGGCGCGUAGGCGGCGUGACAAGUCACUUGUGAAAUCUCUGGGCUUAACCCAGAACGGCCAAGUGAAACUGUUGUGCUAGAGUGCAGAAGGGGCAAUCGGAAUUCUCGGUGUAGCGGUGAAAUGCGUAGAUAUCGAGAGGAACACCAGAGGUGAAGACGGGUUGCUGGGCUGACACUGACGCUGAGGCGCGAAAGCGUGGGGGAGCGAA